UACGUAGGGAGCAAGCGUUGUUCGGAUUUACUGGGCGUAAAGGGCGCGUAGGCGGCAAUUCAAGUCAUCUGUGAAAUCUCCGGGCUUAACUCGGAACGGCCAAGUGAAACUGUCAUGCUAGAGUGCAGAAGGGGCAAUCGGAAUUCUUGGUGUAGCGGUGAAAUGCGUAGAUAUCAAGAGGAACACCUGAGGUGAAGACGGGUUGCUGGGCUGACACUGACGCUGAGGCGCGAAAGCCAGGGGAGCAAACGGG
rnacentral:rRNA from 1 species